rnacentral:rRNA from 1 species
AUUGAACGCUGGCGGCAUGCUUUACACAUGCAAGUCGAACGGUAACAGGCCUUCUGGUGCUGACGAGUGGCGUACGGGUGAGUAAUGCAUCGGAACGUGCCCAGAGGUGGGGGAUAACGCAGCGAAAGCUGUGCUAAUACCGCAUGUGAUCUGAGGAUGAAAGCGGGGGACCAGGCAGCAAUGUUUGGCCUCGCGCCUUUGGAGCGGCCGAUGUCAGAUUAGGUAGUUGGUGGGGUAAAGGCCUACCAAGCCGACGAUCUGUAGCUGGUCUGAGAGGACGACCAGCCACACUGGGACUGAGACACGGCCCAGACUCCUACGGGAGGCAGCAGUGGGGAAUUUUGGACGAUGGGCGAAAGCCUGAUCCAGCAAUGCCGCGUGCGGGAAGAAGGCCUUCGGGUUGUAAACCGCUUUUGUACGGAACGAAAAGGCUCUGGCUAAUACCUGGGGCUGAUGACGGUACCGUAAGAAUAAGCACCGGCUAACUACGUG